AUUGAACGCUGGCGGCAGGCCUAACACAUGCAAGUCGAGCGGAUGAAGGGAGCUUGCUCCUGGAUUCAGCGGCGGACGGGUGAGUAAUGCCUAGGAAUCUGCCUGGUAGUGGGGGAUAACGUCCGGAAACGGGCGCUAAUACCGCAUACGUCCUGAGGGAGAAAGUGGGGGAUCUUCGGACCUCACGCUAUCAGAUGAGCCUAGGUCGGAUUAGCUAGUUGGUGGGGUAAAGGCCUACCAAGGCGACGAUCCGUAACUGGUCUGAGAGGAUGAUCAGUCAACCCGGGACUGGAGAACGGUCCCGACUCCCUACGGGAGGCGCGGUUGGGAAUAUUAGAAAACUGGCCGAAGGCCGGUUCAGCCGUGCCAGCUGUAUUAAAGAAGGCUUCCGAUUGUUAAGCGCGUUUAAUUGGGAAGGAAGGGAGGUAGGUGAUACCAUGGGUUUUUGACCUUAACAAAGAAAUAAGCACCGGCUAACUUCGUG
rnacentral:rRNA from 1 species